CAGCCUGGGGAUGUAUAAAGCCUGGGCAUCCCACUGCACAUUACCAUAGCCUACAACUGCCUGCACAGUGCCAUGGGUCUGCCACUCCUCCUGCUCCUCUUGCUGGUGGCAGACGGUUGCUCUGGCAAAUCUAUUUUCGGACCUGCUAAUAUUCUGGCACUUCAGUGGCCGGAAAACGUCUGUAAGCUGAAUCGCUGGAUUGGCCCUACAUGUAACUAUGAACACUGGACCAUCCGUGGCUGGUG